rnacentral:rRNA from 1 species
AUUGAACGCUGGCGGCAGGCCUAACACAUGCAAGUCUAACGGUAACAGAAAGCAGCUUGCUGCUUUGCUGACGAGUGGCGGACGGGUGAGUAAUGUCUGGGAAACUGCCUGAUGGAGGGGGAUAACUACUGGAAACGGUAGCUAAUACCGCAUAACGUCGCAAGACCAAAGAGGGGGACCUUCGGGCCUCUUGCCAUCGGAUGUGCCCAGUUGGGGUUAGCUAGUAGGGGGGGUAAAGGCCCACCUAGGCGACGAUCCCUAGCUGGUCUGAGAGGAUGACCAGCCACACUGGAACUGAGACACGGUCCAGACUCCUACGGGAGGCAGCAGUGGGGAAUAUUGCACAAUGGGCGCAAGCCUGAUGCAGCCAUGCCGCGUGUAUGAAGAAGGCCUUCGGGUUGUAAAGUACUUUCAGCGGGGAGGAAGGGAGUAAAGUUAAUACCUUUGCUCAUUGACGUUACCCGCAGAAGAAGCACCGGCUAACUCCGUG